rnacentral:rRNA from 1 species
GAUGAACGCUAGCGAUAGGCCUAACACAUGCAAGUCGAGGGGCAUCACAUGAAGUAGCAAUACGGAUGGUGGCGACCGGCGCACGGGUGAGUAACACGUAUGCAACCUGCCUUCAACAAGGGGAUAACCCGUUGAAAGACGGACUAAUACCCUAUAACACAGGGGUCCCGCAUGGGAAUAUUUGUUAAAGGACAACCGGUUGAAGAUGGGCAUGCGUUCCAUUAGCUAGUUGGCGGGGUAACGGCCCACCAAGGCAACGAUGGAUAGGGGAACUGAGAGGUUUAUCCCCCACACUGGUACUGAGACACGGACCAGACUCCUACGGGAGGCAGCAGUGAGGAAUAUUGGUCAAUGGACGCAAGUCUGAACCAGCCACGUCGCGUGAAGGAAGACGGCCCUACGGGUUGUAAACUUCUUUUAUACGGGAAUAAAGUGCCCCACGUGUGGGGUUUUCAAGUACCGUAUGAAUAAGGAUCGGCUAACUCCGUG